ACAAAGUUGAGAGUGACGUGAUGUGAAAUGCAGAAUCUAUAGAGCUGCCACAAGGAUGCUCCUGGGGCUGCAUUGUGUGUACAUCGGCAUCACCAUCCCCGUCCACAUCCGGUGGAUAUCAGACAUAUGCAACGCACACUUUCCCCUCAUAAACAACGCGCCAUGACUAUAAAUACCCAUAAUCAUUGACUCGGGCUCGGGCUCCAAGCGGAUUUUUGUUAUGCACUCGGACUCGGGCGUGCAGCUGCUCUAUAAUUACCCCGUAUCACGGGUGUGGAUGUGGAAGCGUUCUCUAGAGGGUGACAUUUGAUGUUGGCCUGGGGAGGAAUGGGAGCACCGCUGGCUGGGCUGCCAUCUGAAAUUUUGUUUAUGUCUAUUUUCAACACACCCCAGACCCCAGUCGGAAGAAUACCAAAGUCCAAAAAUAAACUCUCCACAUCCUCCCCAAAUCUCAGGCCCGCUGGAGCUAACUGCUCGCGAUCCCCACCCGGUAGCUAAAAAUAAGCACUCCAAAAAGGUUGGAGACAAAAUGGCACGCGCCCUUGCGCCUGACAUGAGCAUAUGCUCCACUCCACAGGCUGCUCUUCCGGACGGGAAAAGUGAGACUCGGGAAGGGAAGCACACAUACCAUGACCUGAUCCUAGACAUGUGCAGCUGCAGUUGGAUAGGCUUAGAACAUUACUUAGCGGAAAGUACCUCUCUGAACACAGCACUUCUCUACUGCGUAUGAUAUGAAAUCAGCACUUGGUAAUAAACUACUUAAAAUGUGAGUAUUAUAAUAUUUUAUAUGACUUGAAGGUGUAUAAUAAUUGUUGCCUAUAUUAGCAACGAAAUUUUACGCUUUUUUUAAUACAGCUAUCAAAAUGUGAUUGCAUUUAAAAAAUUAACAAUAUACCACAUUUCUUUCAUUUAACAUUUUAGAGGUUUUGAAUUUUAAUCUCGUCUUAAUGUACAUAUAAUACCGGCGGUCUAUCAAGCUUGCAAUAAGCCUCACCAUCUAAUUGUUUGUAAUACUUUUGGAACUUUUUCCAGCGAAAGACAAUUAAUUCAAUUAAAAACUACGCAAUAUUAUUGUUUGGCGGGCAGCUGCCUACGGACUUACAUACAUAUUUACCUGCCACGUAGGGUGCCAUACUGUAUGUACUAUCGAGAGCCACACAUCCAUAUAUAUACGCCGUAUAUAUAUGAACCAUAAAACGAAGCGACGACAGCAGAAGCAAUUGGUAAGCGCAAGAAUUUCGCUGCUGCCGCAGUGAGUGUUGCUAAAAAUAGCGGGGCGCGUCCUCUUUACAUUCAACAACGCCCCGAGCAGCAACAGCGGACACGGACGUACACCUCUCCGUGCCGUCCCGUCCCGUCCCACUGGCCCACACCCAUCCUCCUGCUCCGCCGACCCUCUACGGGUGCCAAUGCCAAAAUAUUUCCCUCUCAAAUUAUAGACCAAAAAUGUAAGCAUCAGCAGAUAAAACUGGAUCAAAAUCAUUCAAAUGUAGAGUAAAACUAGCAUCGAUCGUACCCAAGGCUUUUCUUGUUUUCUACUUUAUUUUGUUUAGCUUCUCAAUACCUACGCGGUUUACAAAUGUUCUUUUAAGGUAUUGCUUAUUAGUUAUUAGACUUGUUAACUUUAUCAAAUUCGAACAUCAAAUUUAAGUAAAAAAUCCGCACCAAAAACUAGAAACAUGAAACUGUUGUUUAAAAGCGCCGAAAUAGGAAGAUAAGAAGUGACAAGAAAAUAUAAUCGCUUAUUAAAUGUCCUACUGAAAA